GACGUAGGGGGCCAGCGUUGUUCGGAAUUACUGGGUGUAAAGGGUUCGUAGGCGGUGUGGCAAGUCGGGAGUGAAAUCUCUGGGCUCAACUCAGAGACUGCUUCCGAAACUGCUGUGCUGGAGUGUGGGAGAGGCGCGUGGAAUUGCAGGUGUAGCGGUGAAAUGCGUAGAUAUCUGCAGGAACACCCGUGGCGAAAGCGGCGCGCUGGACCACUACUGACGCUGAGACGCGAAAGCGUGGGGAGGCGAACAGG
rnacentral:rRNA from 1 species